UACGUAGGGUGCGAGCGUUAAUCGGAAUUACUGGGCGUAAAGCGUGCGCAGGCGGUUUUGCAAGCCGGAUGUGAAAUCCCCGGGCUCAACCUGGGAAUGGCAUUCGGGACUGCAAGGCUGGAGUGCGGCAGAGGAGACUGGAAUUCCUGGUGUAGCAGUGAAAUGCGUAGAUAUCAGGAGGAAUACCUAUGGCGAAAGCAGGUAUCUGGGCCAUCACUGACGCUGAGCUGCGAAAGCUAGGGGAGCAAACAGG
rnacentral:rRNA from 1 species